rnacentral:rRNA from 1 species
GUGCCAGCCGCCGCGGUAAUACAGAGGGUGCGAGCGUUAAUCGGAAUUACUGGGCGUAAAGCGCGCGUAGGCGGCUUUGUAAGUCGGUUGUGAAAUCCCCGGGCUUAACCUGGGAACUGCAUCCGAGACUGCAUGGCUAGAGUAUGGGAGAGGGAAGUGGAAUUUCAGGUGUAGCGGUGAAAUGCGUAGAUAUCUGAAGGAACAUCAGUGGCGAAAGCGACUUCCUGGACCAAUACUGACGCUCAUGUGCGAAAGCGUGGGGAGCAAACAGGAUUAGAUACCCCCGUAGUCC